UAGAAGGCGAAUCGAUCUGCAGUUUUCAGGGGUUACACGGAGAAGGGCGUAUAUGGGUUUCUUCUGCUAUUAUUGUUGCCCACACCUCCUUUUGCUUUUGCCUCUGCGUCUAGGUCUGGGUGUGAUGAUAAGUCUCAUCCACGUUACGACUACCACCCCGGGUACUGUGCAAAGUGGAGCGGUGGAUUUGAUGGGGCAUGCGUGGUGUGGAGGAAGGGUGAGUGCGACUCUGUAUGCAAAAACGUAGAUCAUCUAGAAUUUGGAGAGUGCCAUAACCCAUUCGGAAGUAUCAUGUGUUUUUGUUAUCAUAAAUGCUGAUAAAUAAGCUCUUCAUUUACUCCACUAAGUUCUGUGUUUCUUGUGUGGUGUGGUGGAAAGGAAAUUGCAUAGCCAAUAAAAUUAAAGAAUAGAAUUUA